rnacentral:rRNA from 1 species
UGGGGAAUAUUGGACAAUGGGCGAAAGCCUGAUCCAGCCAUGCCGCGUGUGUGAAGAAGGUCUUCGGAUUGUAAAGCACUUUAAGUUGGGAGGAAGGGCAGUAAGCGAAUACCUUGCUGUUUUGACGUUACCGACAGAAUAAGCACCGGCUAACUCUGUGCCAGCAGCCGCGGUAAUACAGAGGGUGCAAGCGUUAAUCGGAAUUACUGGGCGUAAAGCGCGCGUAGGUGGUUCGUUAAGUUGAAUGUGAAAGCCCCGGGCUCAACCUGGGAACUGCAUCCAAAACUGGCGAGCUAGAGUAGGGCAGAGGGUGGUGGAAUUUCCUGUGUAGCGGUGAAAUGCGUAGAUAUAGGAAGUAACACCAGUGGCGAAGGCGACCACCUGGGCUCAUACUGACACUGAGGUGCGAAAGCGUGGGGAGCAAACAGG